AGCGAACGCUGGCGGCAGGCUUAACACAUGCAAGUCGAGCGGGCACUUUCGGGUGUCAGCGGCGGACGGGUGAGUAACGCGUGGGAACGUGCCCUCUGGUUCGGAAUAACUCAGGGAAACUUGAGCUAAUACCGGAUACGCCCUUUUGGGGAAAGGCUUGCUGCCGGAGGAUCGGCCCGCGUCUGAUUAGCUAGUUGGUGAGGUAACGGCUCACCAAGGCGACGAUCAGUACCUGGUCUGAGAGGAUGAUCAGCCACACUGGGACUGAGACACGGCCCAGACUCCUACGGGAGGCAGCAGUGGGGAAUAUUGGACAAUGGGCGCAAGCCUGAUCCAGCCAUGCCGCGUGAGUGAUGAAGGCCUUAGGGUUGUAAAGCUCUUUUAUCCGGGACGAUAAUGACGGUACCGGAGGAAUAAGCCCCGGCUAACUUCGUG
rnacentral:rRNA from 1 species